GGGUAACCGUACGUCCCCACUACCGGGGAGUAACCACCUAGGAACAAGGUGUCAAUACCGCAUAAGCGCACGGAGCGCAUGCUCCUGCGUGAAAACUACCGGUGGUAUGGAUGGACCCGCGUCUGAUUAGCCAGUUGGCAGGUAACGGCCGUACCAAAGCGACGAUCAGUAGCCGGCCUGAGAGGGUGGACGGCCACAUUGGGACUGAGACACGGCCCAAACUCCUACGGGAGGCAGCAGUGGGAAUAUUGCACAAUGGGGGAAACCCUGAUGCAGCGACGCCGCGUGAGUGAAGAAGUAUUUCGGUAUGUAAAGCUCUAUCAGCAGGAACGAGACAAGACGGUACCUGACUAAGAAGCCCCGGCUAACUACGUG
rnacentral:rRNA from 1 species